AUACACGACUCAUAUUCAAGAAAUCGCCGGUAAAAACUCGAAAAAGGCAAAAAGCUAUGUUUAUGAUAUUAUAUAUCGUCAAGUGUGUGUAUGUGUGUCUGACUGUGUGCGAGAGAGUGAGAAUAUGCUUAGAGAAAAAGGAAAGAAAAUAGUUUUUCAAAUCCAAGAAGAAGAUAAGACAAAAUUAUUUAAAGUUCUUCUUGCAAAUUAAAGCUUUCUUAAACCAGAAAAUGGCAAAAAGGAAGCUUUAAUAUCAUGAAAACAUAUCAAAAUUAGUUGGCAUAUCUACCGGAAUAUUCCACACUACUAGUAUACUAGCAUCCAGUUGUGAUCUAUUCAUAUUUUGCCUUUAUAUAUAAAUAUGUGUGUUUAUCAUCAUUUAUAUUGUAGUCAUUUUCGUUAACUAUAUGGUGAUCUUUAAUAAAACAUACGCGCAUCUUAUUUAGAAAAUAGCAAAUGUCUACGUACGUUGAUAAGAAUAAUAUUCAUCUACUCUGCUAUAAGUUUCCUAAUCCAUAAUCCAUGAAAUAUAUAUAGACUAUGUCUACGUACGUUGAAUAAGAUUUAAAUGUGUGUUUUAAGUAUUUUUCUUAACCCACACGCAUUGAUCAGUUAUUUUUCAUUGAAGAAUACGAGUUUACAAAAUGUGUGGACAAUUAGCAAAUGAUUUUUACUCAUACCACCGUGAUCACCGCCGUAUUAUCCUUUCGGCCCAAGCUUACCUAUGCUAGCGUGUCACUUGUAUUAAAAAAAUGUCAUUUAACAUUUUCUGUCUCUACUCUUUAACAUUAAAUAACGUUACCUAAUCAAUAGAUUAAUCCACGUCUUAUGUGCUGGGUCUCCACUAUUUUUAAGUGGAGAGGCUUUUUCUUGGUCCGUCUCAAGCUCAUGUUACUAUUGUAUACACCAUGGUAUCAAAACAAA
rnacentral:lncRNA from 1 species